AGUGAACGCUGGCGGUAGGCCUAACACAUGCAAGUCGAACGGCGGCACAGUAAGAGCUUGCUCUUACGGGUGGCGAGUGGCGGACGGGUGAGGAAUACAUCGGAAUCUACUUUUUCGUGGGGGAUAACGUAGGGAAACUUACGCUAAUACCGCAUACGACCUACGGGUGAAAGCAGGGGAUCUUCGGACCUUGCGCGAUUGAAUGAGCCGAUGUCGGAUUAGCUAGUUGGCGGGGUAAAGGCCCACCAAGGCGACGAUCCGUAGCUGGUCUGAGAGGAUGAUCGGCCACACCGGAACUGAGACACGGUCCAGACUCCUACGGGAGGCAGCAGUGGGGAAUAUUGGACAAUGGGCGCAAGCCUGAUCCAGCCAUACCGCGUGGGUGAAGAAGGUCUUCGGGUUGUAAAGCCCUUUUGUUGGGAAAGAAAAGCAGCAGGUUAAUACCCCGCUGUUCUGACGGUACCCAAAGAAUAAGCACCGGCUAACUUCGUG
rnacentral:rRNA from 1 species